UUUAGAAAUAAGUGAAAUAUAUAUCUAUAAAUGGAAGGUGCACCAGCUAGUAGAGGUGGAUUUCGCGGUGGUCGUGGUGGUCCUGGUGGUCCUAUGAGAGGACGCGGAGGUUUUGGAGACAGGGGAAGGGGUGGACCUCCAAGAGGAGGAGGAGGUAUGAUGAGAGGUGGUAGAGGUAGUGGACCUGGAGGUGGUAUGAGAGGUGGACCACCUGGAAUGAGAGGCAGAGGUGGUCCUCCUGGUAGAGGUGGUCGUGGUGGUGGACAUUUUCCUCCUGGAGGACCACCAGAUCCAGGAAUGUCUACUGGUCCAGGAGGUGGUGGACCACCAUUGCCAGGAAUGGGAGGUCCACCACGUGGUGGCAGUAGAGGAGGUGGAAGCAGUGGUUUUCGAGGUAGAGGAAGAGGUGAUUUUGGUAGAGGAGAUAAUCGUGGAGGUAGUAGUAAUUUUCGAGGUAGAGGAGGAAUGGAUAGAGGCAGCAGAGGUGGAUCUAGGGGAGGAUCUGGCAGAGGUGGUCCAGGAGGCAGAGGUUUUGGAGAUCGUGGGAAUAGAGGUAGUGGACGUGGUGGUGGUGGUCCAUCAAAAAGAGGUGGUGGACCUCCAGGUUCGAGUGGACCUUCAAAAAGACCAAGAUUUGAUCAACCAUCUUCUCAACCUGCAAAUGGUUAUGCAACACAACCACCAAGUCAAGGCGGAUAUGGAGGAAGUACUAGCAAUGCUUAUGGUGGAGGACAACAACAACCACAACAGCAACAGCCUGUGGGAUAUGGUGGCGGUUAUGGAUCACAAAAUUAUACUCAAUCAUCAUAUCAAAGUUAUGAAAGUUACCAGCAACCUCCAGAUUAUGGUCAAACAGCUGGAUAUCCACCAUCAGCAGCUACUGAUAGUAGGUAUGGUGGAGCACCUACUGUACCAGCUACAGGAGCUUUCAGUGCUGGUGAUCCUUAUAGUUAUGGCAAAGCACCACCAUCAGCCAAUUACCAGCAGGAGGCAGUGGUAGCAGUAGCAGGGGGUGGGGGUGCAGGUUAUGCCCCCAUUAACUCUUACGAUGACCGAUCUUCUAAUGCCACUUCUAUGACCAACAGGGGUGGUUACUCGACACAACUUUAUGAUUACUCGAGUCAAGAUGGUGUAUAUGGAAAACAAGAUUAUGGCGUAACAACAACCUGAGAUACUUAGGGAACAGAAUGAAAGAAAGAGAGAGUACCUUCCCUCUGUUACCAGCAAGGAGAAUACCGAUUCACACAAAUAACUAUACAAAUUUAUAUGAAUAAAUGACGACUGUAUCAUAAAUGUUAUUAAUGUCCAAUGGUAUCAGGUAUCACAUAAAUGAAGCCUAGAAAAUAUUGUUUUUUCUGUUAGAGUAUAUUAUGAUAUCUUUCAUUAAUUAGAAUGUCUUUAUUUAAUUUUUCUAAGUGACUAAAAAAACAUUUGAUCUUUGUGAUGCAUCUUUUUUUCAUUCAAGCAAUUCUUUUUCAAUAUAAUAAAUAAUAAUCAGCAUCACUCAAUCUAUUAUUUUCCAACUUAUCAUAUGCAAAAAUUUAAUUGCAUCUUGUACAUAUAUAUACAUAUAUAGAUAGACAACGAAAGCAUAUUUAAAAUGAAAAAGAAAAAGAUAAACAUUAUAUAGAAAAAAAAGCAAUGGAAAAGCAAGCAACAAGAAUAUCGAAUUAAAUCUAUGCUAACAUGUAUUACGCUCAUAUAUAUUAAAAGACAAAUGCUCGAGUAAACCUCAACCCGAAUUCAGGUUGAUAAUGACUAUGCUGUCACAGAUGGUACUACCAAUUCAUGAGCCAAGAAACAUCUGCCACAUGACUGGCAUCGACGUUGUUCCUAAGAAGAUUCAAGUGUAUUUUUAUUUUUCAAUGGCGAGUAUUGUAAAAAGAUAUAAAAUAUCGUAUUUUCCACGUGUGUUAUCGAAUGACUGAGUUCUUAAAAUUUGUAUAAAUUUAGUAAUUAAUUGAUAUAUAUUUAUGAUAAAAGAAUACUUUUCUUUUACAAAUAAAAAAUUUAUAAUUUGUACGAAUGUAAUAAA